GAGUCUUUUGACGCAAGUUGCGCCCGAGGCCACUCGGCCGAGGGCACGCCUGCCUGGGCGUCACGCCAAAACACGCUCCCAACCACCCUCAUCGGGAAUCGGGAUGCGGCAUCUGGUCCCUCGUCUCGCAAGGGGCGGUGGACCGAAGAUCGGGCUGCCGGUGUACCGCGCCGGACACAGCGCAUGGUGGGCGUCCUCGCUUUAUCAACGCAGUGCAUCCGACGCGCAGCCGGCAUUACGGCCUCAGAAAGACCCAGCAAACGAAGCGCACGUCGCUUCGACCGCGACCCCAGGUCAGGCGGGACUACCCGCUGAGUUUAAGCAUAUAAAUAAGCGGAGGAGAAGAAACUUACAAGGAUUCCCCUAGUAACGGCGAGCGAACCGGGAGCAGCCCAGCUUGAGAAUCGGGCGGCUGUGCCGUCCGAAUUGUAG
rnacentral:rRNA from 1 species